GCGUUGUCCGGAAUUACUGGGCGUAAAGGAUGCGUAGGCGGAUGCUUAAGUCAGAUGUGAAAAUCCCGGGCUUAACUUGGGAACUGCAUUUGAAACUGGGCAUCUAGAGUGCAGGAGAGGAGAGUGGAAUUCCUAGUGUAGCGGUGAAAUGCGUAGAGAUUAGGAAGAACACCAGUGGCGAAGGCGGCUCUCUGGACUGUAACUGACGCUGAGGCAUGAAAGCGUG
rnacentral:rRNA from 1 species